GGAGGCGGACGAGGCAGCCGCUGCCCGAAGCAAUUCGGGGAGAGGAAAGUCCGAGCUCCACAGGGCGCAGCGGUGGGUAACACCCACUGUCCGCCGUACGGCGGAUAAGGAAAGUGCCACAGAAAACACACCGCCCCGACGCUUCGCGUCUGUCCAGCCGUGCCCGUCGUAGCCGAAUUCGCCAGAAUUCGGCUCCCCGGAAUGGCACAGCAGGAUACGGCCGAAGUCUUGGCGACUUCGGCUACGAUGGUCGCGCGCGAGACAUGUAUCGCACUUGGCGUCGGGGUAAGGGUGAAAAGGCGAGGUAAGAGCUCACCGCUUCGAUGGCGACAUCGGAGGCACGGCAAACCCCGCUGGGAGAAAGGCCAAAUAGGGAAGGAUGACGCGGCCCGCGUCGCUAUCACUUCCGGGUAGGCCGUUCGAGGUCCCGAGCAAUCGGGAUCCUAGAUAAAUGGCUGCCGCUCCCCGCAUGGCGGGGAGAACAGGACUCGGCUUAUCGUCCGCCUCCGGCU
rnacentral:RNase_P_RNA from 1 species